UGUUAGGGUUGUGGAUAAAGGGAGCUUCCUUCCGUCCAGUUCGAGACAGUUUGAGAGCUGAAAACACAUCUGCUGACUCGUUGGUUCGUGAACUCAUCGAAUAUUUAGGGUUGUGAUCGAUGGGGUUUUUGAUUCAACGAUGCAGGAGUUGUGUUCAGUUUUUCCUGUCGCGUCUUGGACUGAAGGGAGCUCCCUAUUUUCUAAUUUCACUUGUCUCUUGGUUUUGAUCACUAUUAUUCAUCUAAUUUAGGUUUGAUGUUAGCUAGGGUUUCCGUGGAUUUCUUCAUGAAAAUUGUGCUUGAGAUGAUUGUUUUCAAUUCGGAUUCCAAUUCUUAUAUGUGGCUACAGAGAAUGUUAUAUUGUGUUCAGAUGAAGAAAUCUGAUUAUUUUUUUAUAUAAUUGAACCUGGUACUAACUAGUUUCUAUUACUAAUUUUAAUUUAUUUUGUAUGCAGAAGCAGGUUUAAAGCGUUUUGCACUACUUAUUCAUGGUGGAUUCAUCUAGAGCCUAAUGAAGGGGACAUGGCCAGGAAAUAGGAUUCGUUUAAUUAUCAUUGUAUUAUGCUAACUUAGUUAUUUUUAGAGAGUGUUUUUAUUGUUCUUUCCCUACAACUUGUUAACAUGAUGUUGUGUUUUCCAAAAAACAAAAAAGUUGACUAUAUAGCAUGUUUCAUCGUCAGAAAUUUUGUCAAUAUUUCUUAGUGUAUUUUUUGUAAAUUCCUAAACACUCGUUAAAUUUUGACUUUGCAUAUCAAAAUCUUUUUGUAAAUGACCAAACUUAAAUUGUUCUUAUUUUGCAACCAAUCUAAAUUCCGGCGAUUACAUGACUUAUAACUUACUUACAUGGCACAAUUAUAUCUGCAUAACAUUUCGAGAAAUUACGUGAAAUUCAACUAAAAAUACAUGAUAUAUUUAUGUCAUAAGGUUGUCAAGAGUACGAGGACAUAUAUUUGAUAAUGUAAGCGGCAUCAAAGCUUGGACGAAAUCUAAGAGCACAUUGAGCAAGUUGUGUUAAAUUGGGGAGCCUCUAGUAAUUCCUCCUUUCUUUCCUUAUGAGUGUUUAUUGUUCUCUUUCCUUUGUUUAUUAUUUUAGGCUUUCUUGUGCUUGUCCGUUGCAUGGUGGUUUUGUGCGUUGCAACUGCUUUUCAGAGACUUUGAAGUGGAUAUUACAUCGCCUACCAGGUAGAAUUGGUCUAAUGUUAGCCUCUUUUUGGCUGAUUAUAAUAGGUUGUUAACAUUUUUUAGCUCUAGUUGCAGGUUGUUGUUUCUUCGUACAGUGGUAGGUUGUGAUAUUUUUUAGCUCUAGUUACUUUUUUGGACCUAACGUUUUUCAGUUUCUGCUCUUGCAUGGUUUGUCGUGUAUUGUUAUACGCCCUCCGUUCCUUAAAAUUUGGCAUCAUUUGACCCGGCACGAGUUUUAAGAAAUGUAAUAGAAAGUGAGUUCAAAAAGUUAGUGGCAUGUGGGUCCUACUUUUAUAUAUUAGUUUUAAAAUAAAAUGUGAGUGGGAAUGAGUUAGUGGAAUGCGGGGUCUACUACCAAAAAUGGUAAAAGUGAAAGGUGACAAAUUUUUAAGGACGGAUGAAAAAGGAAAUAAGUGACAAAUUUUCAAGGAUGGAGGGAGUAAUAGAAAACGGAUUUUAAUUAGGUCGAUCUAUCAAAUUCCGGAUAGGACACAUUUACAAUUGAGGGCUAAUUGAGUACAAGUUAAUAAGUGCAGGUUAAUCAAACUAAAAUUUUACAUGAUUAAAAAUUUGUGACCCUAAUCUUCUAUAUUUAGUAGGCUAUUUGGUUCAACUCACGUAUUUUGGGAUGCAUUAACAUCACUCUACAAUUAUCGUAACCAAUAUUUUGAUAAACACAAAUUAACUGUUGAUAAAUUCUAGACGAAAAAACUAAUAAAUUGUAAUUGGAUGUACUAUUUAUACGUCCGUGUAUAAGAGAAAACUUUGUCAAUACUUUUUAACUGCUUUUAUUUGGACACACUACCACAUUGAUUUACAAGUGAAGUCUAUAUUUAGAAAGAGUGUUAGUGUUAAUUUAUAACCCAACUAUUGAGGUGUUCUUCUACUUGAUAUCCAAUUCAAACUGAGACAACAUGAAGAGUCAAAAUAACAGUCUAACUAUAAAAUGUGUUAAAAUUGCGGAAAGUAUAUAUUAGUAUUAAGGCUAUGUUUGGUAGUAUUGAAAGUCACAACUCACAAACAUGCUAGUUUUUCAAGCAUUGUGAGAUUGGAGCUUUUCCACAAUUUAGGCGUUUGGUUGCAAUAUUGGGACAAACCCUCUGGUAGAAAACUGUAGUUGUUGGUGGUGAUUUUAGACAAAUCUUGCCAACUAGUUCCUAAGGGUAGUAGGCAAGAUGUUGUGAAUGCCGCUAUUAACUCUACAUAUUGCGCAAUCUAAAGUUGACCAAAAACAUGAGACUUUUGAGUGUUGCAUCUUCUGAUGAAACUUCAUGAUUGGAGGAAUUUUCUUCUUGGGUUGCUUCUAUUGGAGAUGGGGUUGUUGGUGGUACAAAUGAUGGUGAAGUGACUAUUGAUCUUCCUUCUGACAUUGUUUUGUCUAAUUGUGGGAAUCUUUUUAAACAAUUAUUUCAAAGAUAUAUCCGUCCUAUAUGAAUCAUGAAGAGUUGAGUAAUUGUUUGCAUGAUCGUGCUAUACUUGCUCCUACUUUAGAGGUUGUUGAUAAGGUUAACCAAUUCAUCAUGUCAUUAGAUCAGUCUCAGGGUCGAGUUUAUUUGAGCUCUGAUAGAAUUUUAAACUCAGAUUUGACAUCAAAUAGUUUAGCUAAGAUACAAUCAGUUAGAUUUUUGAAUAAGUUGAAGUGUUCAGGUACACCCUAAUCAUGAAUUGUUGUUGAAAGUUGGCACUCCUGUGAUGUUGACACCAAAUUGAUAAUUACACGGUUAGUUGAUUACGUUUUGGAGGGACAAGUAUUGGGUGACCAUAAUAUUGGUUAUAAAGUUUUGAUUAUAACAUCCUACUAAUAUAAACCGUUUGAUAUACAGAUGUAGGGUUCUUAUUUCAUCAACUGGGAUUGCAUUUUUUAGUAUUUUAGUUGCAUUUAAGGGUAAAUUAAUCAGUUCGUGUAUUUAACCCACUCUCUGAAUCAGAGGCGCGAGAUUUCAGAGGUCACUCAAUUACACGAUUCGUCUGCUCAUUCAACUCAUUUCAAACCUUUCCACUCUCUUUCCAAUUCAUUCAACUUCUCAAUCCCGCUGUGUUCACUUCCAAAAACCUCCAAAACACAUUGUCAAAUCAAAACCCUAGCCCAAGUCCAGGUUUUUUCAACAGAGCGUGAACCACUUGCAUCAACCGAUCACCAAUUUGAUAAAUGGAUAAAAGACGAGCAAUUUUGAACACCACAAAGCCUGACAUCGAAUUAUCCACGCGAAUUGUGAACAAGCGACGGAAAGAAAAGAAUGCAGCUGAUGAGGCAACUGAUCGAGACACUGAACAGGUUUAGCAAAUUCUAAGGAUCCGGUGUCAACGGUAAAGUUCCUGAAAACAAGGUAACCAAAUAUGUUUGAAAGACCAUAACUCAUUCACCUUGAAACAUUGUCUUCAACCCAGAAGAAAUACUUCCUACAUAUGUUGGACUCAUGUGGGAUAAUGAAACAAGUUGCUGCUUUGAGAAACGUUGAACCAACAGUGCUGCCAAUAGAGUGGACGACUGCCACAAACAAGGUCGACAGUGGAGUGUACCUAAUGAGGCACAUGGAGACAUUCAUGGGCCAAAAAGUAAAUGAAUGGAAGUGUGGACUUACUCCUAGAAGCGCGUUGUCAUUGCAGUACUUGAGAGCCAAAAUGAGCAAAGAGCUACUCUUUGGGAAUUCAAACGCAGUGAUGUAUAAAAUCCGGCAUCUUAGCCAAUAGUGCAAUGAGGAAGGGAAGAAGAAAGGGCAAAUUGAUGUUGAGAAAAUGAUAGCAACAUACACUAAAUAGUGACGCAUGAGAGUUUUAUGAUUUUCAUGAGCUUGCUGUGUUAUAUGCUGGAUACCAUGGAUACCAUGUUGUGAAGCAACUUUUUAGUGUACAAUGCAAUUGAUACUUGUUAAA